AGAGAGAGACAUGCGCGCAUAUCAAUAAGCGGAGGAAAAGAAACUAACAAGGAUUCCCCUAGUAACGGCGAGUGAAGCGGGAAGAGCUCAAAUUUGAAAUCUUAAAGGGUUUCCCUUUACGAAUUGUAGUUUAAAGAAGUGUUUUCUGUUGAGGUUUUGGUAAAAGUUCUUUGGAAUAGGACAUCAUAGAGGGUGAGAAUCCCGUAUUUGACCUUUACUUUCAACUUUGUGAUACACUUUCAAAGAGUCGGAUUGUUUGGGAAUGCAGUCCAAAAUGGGUGGUAAAUUUCAUCUAAAGCUAAAUAUUGGCGAGAGACCGAUAGCGAACAAGUACCGUGAGGGAAAGAUGAAAAGAACUUUGAAAAGAGGGUUAAACAGUACGUGAAAUUGUCAAAAGGGAAGCGUUUGACACCAGUGUUGUUUUUCUGAAAAUCAAUUAAAGAACUGUUUAUGCUAAGCUGUUUAGACUUUAUCAGCUAACUGUUUAGUUUUGAGCCUUUCUUUAAUGCACUUUUCAGUUAACAAGUCAACAUCAAUUUCUUUUGCUGUAAAAAAGCUUGAGGAAGGUGGCUUGAGAUUCGUCUUAAGUGUUUAUAGCCUCUUGCCUAUGCAGUCGGAGAGAUUGAGGUCUGCAGCGUAGAUCCUUCGGGGCUAAAUGCAUUUGUGCUAAGUUAUAGCAUUUUAUAGACAACUUGUUGACUAUGAUUUGUCUUGUAGCUUACUCGCUUAUGUUAUUUUACCUACGCUUAGGAUGUUGAGCGCAUGUCUCUCUCU
rnacentral:rRNA from 1 species